rnacentral:rRNA from 1 species
GACAGAGGGGGCAAGCGUUGUUCGGAAUUACUGGGCGUAAAGGGCGCGUAGGCGGUUUGCUAAGUUGAAUGUGAAAACUCUGGGCUUAACCCAGAGCCUGCAUUCAAUACUGGCAGGCUAGAGUUCUGGAGGGGAUAGCGGAAUUCCUGGUGUAGCGGUGAAAUGCGUAGAUAUCAGGAGGAACACCGGUGGCGAAGGCGGCUAUCUGGACAGAGUCUGACGCUGAGGCGCGAAAGCUAGGGGAGCGAACAGG